AGAAUGCUAAAAAGAUAGAUACAACGGAAAGCGUAGCUUCUUGCAGUUCCUACAACCAACGUUCCUGCAUUGAAGACGACGAUUUUUUAUUGGUGGACCAGGUUUAGAUACAGAAUAUGCUGAAACUCUAAUAGAUGUUGACUCUCAAAAUGAAAAUAUUCCUCCUAACAGACAAACCAGUAAUUAUACUGGAGGAUUUGAUUUUGAACGGCUCGUUGUAAAAAAAUUCCAACAUUUGGAAUUAAAAAUAAGCAGCAUUCAAAAACAAAACGAGAAAAUUUUAAAGAAGCUUGGUGAAACCGUUCAGCCAGAAAAAAAGCAAAAAUUUGAUAUUUUUCAAGAUUUACCUUUAAAAGAUAAAAACCAAUUAGAAGCUUUGGACUCCAAACUUGCCAGAGAUAUUCCUUACCGGAAUGAAAUGAUUAAACAAUUAGCACGAUUAACAGGACGGGAUAUUAAACAUUCAUGUUUAUGUUUAAUGAGACAAUUAGUGUCAAAUGAACUUGCACUUGUAUACAGCUGGUAUGGUGCCAAAAAAAAAAGAAAAUUUUUCUAAGCUGAAUUUGUGC